rnacentral:lncRNA from 1 species
AGGAAAGGGAAGUAAAUAAGAAUUUAGAAAUGAGAUAAUGUGAGUGAAUAGGGUACGGACCCUGAACAUCUUCGAGUUGAUGAGGAGAGAGAGAGUGUGUGUGUGUGUGGUUGGAGUUCAGCGGGCAUAGUGAACCUACACAUGGAUAGAGUUUGAAAUCUAAUGCAGACGUGGAUAGGUGUUUGUGACUAUGAGUCACCUAGCAAAUGUAACUGUUGUGACCAUUGUGAAAUUAUAUGUAUGUGUGUUAUCCAUACGAUGGGGGAAUCCAUUUUGCCUCUCAUCGAUGACGACAUAAAUAGCAUCACGCAAUUAACCUUAAAAAUAAGAUUUCAAGUGUAUAUAUGAUCUUUCGUGUGUAUGUGGUUUUAUUUUGAGAUUAUAAUUGAUAUUCGAGUGUAUAUAUGUU